rnacentral:rRNA from 1 species
GUGGGGAAUCUUCCGCAAUGGACGAAAGUCUGACGGAGCAACGCCGCGUGAGUGAAGAAGGUUUUCGGAUCGUAAAGCUCUUUCGUUAGGGACGAACGUGCUCUUUGUGAAUAAUGAGGAGUAAUGACGGUACCUAAAUAAGAAGCCACGGCUAACUACGUGCCAGCAGCCGCGGUAAUACGUAGGUGGCAAGCGUUGUCCGGAAGUAUUGGGCGUAAAGCGCGCGCAGGCGGGAUAUCAAGUCUGUCUUAAAAGUGCGAGGCUCAACCUCGUGAGGGGACAGAAACUGGUAUUCUUGAGUGUCGGAGAGGAAAGUGGAAUUCCAAGUGUAGCGGUGAAAUGCGUAGAGAUUUGGAAGAACACCAGUGGCGAAGGCGACUUUCUGGACGAUGUCUGACGCUGAGGCGCGAAAGCUAGGGGAGCGAACGGGAUUAGAUACCCCAGUAGUCC